rnacentral:snRNA from 1 species
AUACUUACCUGAGAUACCAUGAUCAUGAAGGUGGUUUUCCCAGGGCAAGGCUGAUACAUUGCAAUGGGGAUCUGUUGACCUCUGGGAUUUCCCCACAUGGGAGAACUCAACUGCAUAAUUUGUGUUGGUUGGGGAUUACAUCUGUGCUUCAU